UACGUAGGGGGCAAGCGUUGUCCGGAAUCAUUGGGCGUAAAGCGCGUGUAGGCGGUUCAGUAAGUCUGCUGUGAAAGUCCUGGGCUCAACCUCGAGACGUCGGUGGAAACCGUUUGGCUAGAGUCCGGAAGAGGAGAGUGGAAUUCCCGGUGUAGCGGUGAAAUGCGCAGAUAUCGGGAAGAACACCCGUGGCGGAGGCGGCUCUCUGGGGACGGGUACUGGACGCUGAGACGCGAAAAGCGUGGGGAGCGAACAGG
rnacentral:rRNA from 1 species